GACCGCGUACCCGAAUGGCUCAGGGACCUGUCUGCAAAACAGUUUAUGCGGGUUCGAUUCCCGCCGCGGUCU
rnacentral:tRNA from 1 species